rnacentral:rRNA from 1 species
UACGGGGGGAGCAAGCGUUGUUCGGAUUUACUGGGCGUAAAGGGCGCGUAGGCGGCCACCGCAAGUCAGUUGUGAAAUCUCCGAGCUUAACUCGGAAAGGUCAACUGAUACUGCGGGGCUAGAGUGCGGAAGGGGCAACUGGAAUUCUCGGUGUAGCGGUGAAAUGCGUAGAUAUCGAGAGGAACACCUGCGGCGAAGGCGGGUUGCUGGGCUGACACUGACGCUGAACUGCGAAAGCUAGGGGAGCGAACGGG